rnacentral:rRNA from 1 species
CCUACGGGGGGCAGCAGUGGGGAAUAUUGCACAAUGGGGGAAACCCUGAUGCAGCGACGCCGCGGGAGUGAAGAAGAGUUUCGGCGCGUAAAGCUCUGUCAGCGGGGAAGAAACACGGUUCGCGAGAGCCGCGGACGGUACCCGACCAAGAAGCCCCGGCUAACUACGUGCCAGCAGCCGCGGUCAGACGGAGGGGGCAAGCGUUAUCCGGAUUCAAUGGGGGUAAAGGGAGCGUAGACGGCGAGACAAAUCUGGAGUGAAAGGCCGGGGCUCAACCCCGGGACUGCUCUGGAGAGUGCCUGGCUGGAGUACAGGAGAGGUAAGUGGAAUGACUAGUGUAGCGGUGAAAUGCGUAGAUAUUAGGAGGAACACCAGUGGCGAAGGCGGCUUACUGGACUGUAACUGACGUUGAGGCUCGAAAGCGUGGGGAGCAAACAGGAUUAGAUACCCCAGUAGUC